CUUCUGGGGGGGCUGCUUGCCCCGCAAAUUAUGGAGGCGAGGCGGCGGCAGCUCCUUUUCUGGGAAAUCUUUUUCGGCGCCCAAAUUUCAGUUGUACGGACCCGUGUCAGACGGGGGAUGCUCUUCUGGGCAGCUGAAGCAAGGAAGUGCAGCUGCCUGGACUCGUGCUGGACUGGAAAAGCUCACUUAUGCUCAAGAGAGCGGGAAGCGCAGAAGGAGCCUCUGCGAUAGAGCGAGGGGGUUUGAUAGGCAAUGGGCUUCGGAGCCAGCGAGUAAUCGGGAAUGGGCGCACGUUAACCGUGAGCCCGUAUUUCCCUCCCAGGGCCAAAAUCCACGAUCCACAGCAGCGACCUUGCGUCUAACAAGUCGGAGGCUCACAAAGGGAUUGAGGAGUCACGGAGGAAGACCGUAAAGGAUGCAGGUCGUUACCUGAUCACAGGUGCCUAUUAAACAGAGUCACGCGGCGAGUCUUGUAUUACAUCCGCCACCACUGUAGGAGACAUACGUGCCUAAUGCCCAGCCGAAAAGAACCCCUUCCCUCAAACCCGCUCUGCCUCUGUGUUUUAAAUUCAUGCUUUGUCACUCCUCACUGAGGCUUCUUAACCGAGGAGGUGUUUUUUUUUUCCUUCCU